AGAGCACUCUACGGGAGGCAGCAGUGGGGAAUCUUGGACAAGUGGGGCAACCCUGAUCCAGCCAUGCCGCGUGAGUGAUGAAGGCCUUAGGGUCGUAAAGCUCUUUCGCCUGUGAUGAUAAUGACAGUAGCAGGUAAAGAAACCCCGGCUAACUCCGUGCCAGCAGCCGCGGUAAUANGNGGAGGGUUAGCGUUGUUCGGAAUUACUGGGCGUAAAGCGCGCGUAGGCGGAUUAGUCAGUUAGAGGUGAAAUCCCAGGGCUCAACCCUGGAACUGCCUUUAAUACUGCUAGUCUUGAGUUCGAGAGAGGUGAGUGGAAUUCCGAGUGUAGAGGUGAAAUUCGUAGAUAUUCGGAGGAACACCAGUGGCGAAGGCGGCUCACUGGCUCGAUACUGACGCUGAGGUGCGAAAGUGUGGGAGCAAACAGGAUUAGAUACCCUGGUAG
rnacentral:rRNA from 1 species